rnacentral:rRNA from 1 species
GACGAACGCUGGCGGCGUGCUUAACACAUGCAAGUCGAACGGGAAGGCCCUGCUUUUGUGGGGUGCUCGAGUGGCGAACGGGUGAGUAACACGUGAGUAACCUGCCCCUGACUUUGGGAUAACUUUAGGAAACUGGGGCCAAUACCGGAUAGGAGCUCCUGCGGCAUGGUGGGGGUUGGAAAGUUUCGGCGGUUGGGGAUGGACUCGCGGCUUAUCAGCUUGUUGGUGGGGUAGUGGCUUACCAAGGCUUUGACGGGUAGCCGGCCUGAGAGGGUGACCGGCCACAUUGGGACUGAGAUACGGCCCAGACUCCUACGGGAGGCAGCAGUGGGGAAUAUUGCACAAUGGGCGGAAGCCUGAUGCAGCAACGCCGCGUGCGGGAUGACGGCCUUCGGGUUGUAAACCGCUUUCGCCUGUGACGAAGCGUGAGUGACGGUAAUGGGUAAAGAAGCACCGGCUAACUACGUG